rnacentral:rRNA from 1 species
UACCAGCACCCCGAGUGGUCAGGACGUUUAUUGGGCCUAAAGCAUCCGUAGCCGGUUCUGCAAGUCUUCCGUUAAAUCCACCUGCUUAACAGAUGGGCCGCGGAAGAUACUAUAGAGCUAGGAGGCGGGAGAGGCAAGCGGUACUCGAUGGGUAGGGGUAAAAUCCGUUGAUCCAUUGAAGACCACCAGUGGCGAAGGCGGCUUGCCAGAACGCGCUCGACGGUGAGGGAUGAAAGCUGGGGGAGCAAACAGG